UAAAUGCAUUAGUUCAUUUUCAUGUUUGAGAUAUGUGACUGCUAGUUCCCUUUCGAAAGCUUCAGUCGAUGCUGCGCUGCUCAGCGCAUUGGGAAACGUCUUGUUCGUGACCAGCUGUGAAUAAUGUGUGUGUAACACGUCGAUAGAAUUGACCCGGUGGUAAUAUAGCCUCGGUUGAUGACGUCAUCGGAGCGCGUCCGCAACACGGGGCUAUAAAUAGAUAAGCCACAGGUGCAUCAACAGGUCUUUUGUCUUCAGAUCAUUCUGUGCAUGUGUGCGUCAGGAAGAUUCUUUUUGUCUACUACAGAUCUUCGUACGAUGACCCAACGAAACAGUAAGUGUUGUGUUCCUCCAUGCUCUCGUCCUAUGUAUGAGCUGGAUACGCAUGAUUACUGUUUUGUUUGUUUGGGGGAAGAGCACGCGGUUCUGGCUUUAGAGACGGGCGAGUGCGAGCAUUGUGAACUGUUCUCAGUGAAGAUGCUUCGUGCUCGUCUGAACUAUUUUCAGACCGCACCCACCUUUUCGUCGGAGGGCUCUCGUGCGGGUCUGCGUGACGAGCGAGCGACGGGCCCGUCCCUUUCGCUUACAGUGUCACCAGAUCCACGCAUCCUCUCUCGUGAUCUCGAAGCGCGCUCCGGUGCUUCUUCGAUUCACGAGGAGGAUGAUAUAUCUCUUGAGUCUUCGGGCGAUGAGCAGGCCUCUGAACGCUCCUCUCGCGAGAGGAAAUCGGUCGAGGAGCUGCUCGAGGUGGUUACUCGCGCGGUGGACAGGCUGCAGCUUGACUGGCCACGCGACCAAGAGACCCCCAAACGUAGUAAGCUGGAGGAUAGGUUUCUGUCGGGUGGUAGGAGAGAGAGACCGCAACAUCAGUCUCUCCCCUUUUUCGAGGACCUCCAUGAUGAACUGUCGAAGUCAUGGAGCAAACCAUAUACUUCCCGCAUCUUUGUGCCCUCGACGUUGACUUUUUCAACUAUCGUGGAUGCAAAAUCGCGGGGAUAUUCGGAGAUGCCUCGGGUUGAAGAGUCGCUUGCGAGCUAUCUCUCACCUGAAUCUGCAUCCUCGGUGAAGAAACCUACUCUCCCCACUAAACCUUGUAGAAUUACAUCAUCGCUAGUGGGUAAAGCUUACCAAGCUGCAGGUCAGGCUGGUGCUGCGCUGCACACUAUGGCAGUGUUACAGGCAUACCAGGCUGACCUAUUGAAGGACUUGAGUGUGGGCAGUACAAUCGACGAGGAAGCAUUCGCUGAGCUUCGGCGGGCCACAGAUUUGUCUCUCCGGGCGACCAAGCAGACGGCUCGUGCCAUUGGCCGGUCGAUGUCAGCUUUAGUCAGCACGGAGAGGCAUCUGUGGCUUAAUUUGACGGGCAUUAAAGAGAAGGAACGUUUGUUUCUUUUAGACUCCCCUAUCUCUCCAUCUGGCCUGUUUGGCGAUUCAGUUAAUUCGGUCGUCGACAGGUUUAGGGAAGUAAAGAAACAUGAAGAAGCGUUCGUUCAGUUUCUUCCUCGCCGCACUCAAGGGGAGGGGCCAUCAGCCACCCAGCCUCGCCCCGGUCCUUCAAAAACCAGGGAGGUUAAAAAGCAGAGCGUGACAGACCGUGCUCCCCCUCGUAGGGAUUGGGGACAGGUUCGCCGUGCUCAGCAACCUCCCAAGCCAGACCUCAGGACUUUUAUUAAUAGGAAGAAGAAGUCCUGACGCCAUGGCACCCGUGCUGGUGGGGGUAGUCCCUCACGGGGUGGGGCGCGCUCGAGAGCUUUUCGCCCCGCCCCGUUACCCUCACAAAACCCCUCCAGCCCCGCCGCUUCUGGUGUUUCGGGGGGCGGGGGUUUCCAGCGAGAUUUUAGAUGUUCCAGUNNNNNNNNNNNNNNNNNNNNNNNNNNNNNNNNNNNNNNNNN
ensembl:lncRNA